rnacentral:lncRNA from 10 species
UCCCCGGCAGAGGACUGAACCCCCAGUAGGAGGGGCUGCACCUGAACCCCCUUCCUAAGAAACUGGUGGUUGUCUUUGCAGGAAAUUCUCUGGUCGCUGGCUCUCUCCGUGUUCACUGUUGAUAGGGUGAUAUGUCACGGCCGCGGGCAGGUGAGAAGACACCUUCAGGCGUAGCCUCGGGCAGGUGAGAAAGACACCUGAGGCGUGGCCUUGGGCAGGUGAGAAGACACCUGAGGCAUGGCCUCGGGCAGGUGAGAAGACACCUUCAGGCGUAGCCUCGGGCAGGUGAGAAAGACACCUGAGGCGUGGCCUCGGGCAGGUGAGAAGACACCUGAGGCGUGGCCUCGGGCAGGUGAGAAGACACCUGAGGCGUGGCCGCGGGCAGGUGAGAAGACACCUUCAGGCGUAGCCUCAGGCAGGUGAGAAAGACACCUGAGGCGUGGCCUCGGGCAGGUGAGAAGACACCUGAGGCAUGGCCUCGGGCAGGUGAGAAGACACCUUCAGGCGUAGCCUCGGGCAGGUGAGAAAGACACCUGAGGCGUGGCCUCGGGCAGGUGAGAAGACACCUGAGGCGUGGCCUCGGGCAGGUGAGAAGACACCUGAGGCGUGGCCUCGGGCAGGGGAGAAGACACCUUCAGGCAUAGCCUUGGUUUUGAAACAUGUUGCAUUUUUUCAGAUUCAUGAUGGCUUGCAGAUGCUUGAUUUCCUGAAGGGGAGAACCUGAUGAGCUUGUCUUCUAGAUCAGUGGUCCCCAACCUUUUUGGCAUCAGGGACCAGCUUCCUGGAAGACCAGGUUUCCACGAACUGGCGGGCCGGGGCAGGGAUGGUUUCAGGAUGACUCAACUGCAUUUCAUUUAUUGUGCACUUUAUUUCGCGAAGAAACACAAGGGUGUUUUAGAGGCUGAAUGUUAGGAAUUCAGAAAGCAAUUUCUUCAUGAUGUGUAUUUUCAAUGUUGUUUCAUUCCCUCAGCUCCAUCUCUAGAGAAGCGGCCCAUGCUGUUGAUGACCUGAGUCUACAAGUUUCCUCACAAAUUGUAUUCAGAGAGCAGCUUCCUGCUUGGUGGGUGUCCGUAGUCCCCACAGAUCCCUACAAUGGAGAGCAACUCAGAGACUGAAUAAAUAGAAAAUAAUUUAUUUUAGGCUUUCUUAGUUAAGAAGAGUUGUUUUUGUUCCUUGAUUUCUAUUGGAACAUGAAAUUAAGCAUUUGACAUGCUUUCCUUGUGGGAAACCAGCUCCUGACCCGUAGUUCUAUGUGAGGAAGUUACUUCACUUCCAUUUAUUUUCCAGCCCAAAUGAUCAAUCAGUGCAAAUAUGAGCAAGUUCUAAAAUUUAGAGCACCAGGAAAAGAGAUAUAAAUAUAAAAUCAGUGAUAUCAUGGGUGAACUUUGUGAUUCUAAACUGGAAUCAAGCAUGAUUUUGUUUCUCCUGAAAGCCUCCUUGCUUUUUAGUUUUAUCCACGAAAAGGCCGAGAAGUCAGAAGGAGCAGCCCAACACCCCAGGGGUGUCUGAGUACCAAGCCCACUGCAGGAGAAAAGCUCAUUUGACACCUCGCAUCUGGGCCAGGAAAGGAAGUGGGGGGUUCAGGGUUGCCUCAAACCCUCUAAGCACUCGCAGCUUCCCUGAAGUUGGGAUGCAGAGACAUGAUGUCCCGAGGUGGUGCAGCAGGUGGGACACAGUGGGACUGAUGAAGCACUUUUGCUUCAAAAUCAAACCAGCAUCUAAUCAAGUCUUGGGGACAGUCAUUUUAAAGGAGAGAAAACCAUCUGCCAAGCCAGAAUGCGGACAUUUCACAGAACAGACUGCCUGGCUUCUCUAGUAAUAACUUUUGUUUUUAAAGGCAGGAGGACACAGUAGAAUGAGACGUGUCAGCCUCAGUGUGUCCUGGUUUGGAGCCUGGUGUGCACGAGCCACCUGUCACAGGCGAGCUUGGCGUGCACGAGCCGACUGUCACAGGCAAGCCUGGCAUGCACGAGCUGACUGUCACAGGCAUUGUUGGGACAGUGGGGGAAGUCCGAAUGUGUCCUGGGUAUAUAGGGGGGCAAACCUUCUCCUCUAUCCUCCUAGGGUCCCUGGUGGAGCCUGAGAAUGGAAUUGGCCUAAGGCAGGUUGACGGGGAAGAGCAUCGGAUUUGUUGAAUGUGGGGUCUACCUGACACAGAGCCCCCCGGAAAAUGAAGAGUUGAGGAGUGGCACAGCCUGCACGCUGCCCUGCGGGGUUGGGCAGAGGCCACUGUGGACAAGCAACCA